rnacentral:rRNA from 1 species
ACUCCGCUGACGACCGGCGCACGGGUGCGCACCGCGUAUGGAACCUGCCUCUUGCAGGGGAAUAGCCCAGGGAAACUUGGAUUAAUGCCCCGUAGUAUCAUUACACCGCCUGGUGUUUUGAUUAAAGGCUUCGGCCGGCAAGAGAUGGCCAUGCGUCCCAUUAGUUAGAUGGUAAGGUAACGGCUUACCAUGACUACGAUGGGUAGGGGCCCUGAGAGGGGGAUCCCCCACACUGGUACUGAGACACGGACCAGACUCCUACGGGAGGCAGCAGUGAGGAAUAUUGGACAAUGGAGGAGACUCUGAUCCAGCCAUGCCGCGUGCAGGAAGACGGCCCUAUGGGUUGUAAACUGCUUUUAUACGGGAAGAAAAAGGGCUACGUGUAGCCCCCUGACGGUACCGUAAGAAUAAGGACCGGCUAACUCCGUGCCAGCAGCCGCGGUAAUACGGAGGGUCCGAGCGUUAUCCGGAAUUAUUGGGUUUAAAGGGUCCGUAGGCGGGCCAUUAAGUCAGGGGUGAAAGUCUGCAGCUCAACUGUAGAAUUGCCUUUGAUACUGGUGGUCUUGAGUUAUGGUGAAGUGGCUGGAAUAUGUAGUGUAG